GGAUAGCAAUCCUAGGCAUGGUAAAUGUAAUGUGGGGAAAUGAAAAACCUAUAUAGCAGCCACAUGGAUCUCUGGAAAAAAAGUAGCACUAGGCUUUCCUGAAUUCCAUAUCCGCUAACACAUCACCCAUGAAUUUGGCCUACGGAGUCUAAUUUCAGAGUCCACACUCCAGAGACCGAAUUGAGUGCAAAGGCAAUGCAAAGAAAUAGAAUGCUGUUAGACACUAAUACUUAUAAUGGAAUCCUACAGAUGUCAGCAACACAAAAAUACUUCUAAAAUAAAUAAAGUGGGGUUGGUUCCAAAAUUGUUUAUUACAAAAUUACAAUGGAUCCUAAAAUGAA